GUAGGUGGCAAGCGUUGUCCGGAAUUAUUGGGCGUAAAGCGCGCGCAGGCGGUUCUUUAAGUCUGAUGUGAAAGCCCACGGCUCAACCGUGGAGGGUCAUUGGAAACUGGAGAGCUUGAGUACAGAAGAGGAAAGCGGAAUUCCACGUGUAGCGGUGAAAUGCGUAGAGAUGUGGAGGAACACCAGUGGCGAAGGCGGCUUUCUGGUCUGUAACUGACGCUGAGGCGCGAAAGCGUGGGGAGCAAACAGGAUUAGAUACCCUGGUAGUCCACGCCGUAAACGAUGAGUGCUAAGUGUUAGGGGGUUUCCGCCCCCCUUAGUGCUGCAGCUAACGCAUUAAGCACUCCGCCUGGGAGUACGGCCGCAAGGCUG
rnacentral:rRNA from 1 species